AUGUUGGUUUCACCAACUAUCCGCAACCUCAAGGUCACUAAGAUGCUGGUUGACGGUGGGGCCGGCUUGAACCUGAUCUCCUCCGCGGUACUCCAGAAACUCCAGAUCCCUGACAGCGAGCUCGAAGAGACACGCACAUUCCAAGGAAUCAAUCCGGGAAGGAGCAAGCCGAAGGGAAAGAUCACGUUGCCGGUGACAUUUGGCAACGAGUUGAACUUCAGGACUGAGAGGGUCACUUUUGACGUUGCUGAUUUUCCAUUGCCUUACAAUGGGAUACUCGGUCGUCCAGCACUCGCCAAAUUCAUGGCAGCCUCUCACUAUGCAUACAACAUGCUGAAGAUGCCAGGCCCGAUAAGUGUCAUCUCUGUCCUGGGCGACAAGAAGGAUGCUCUUAUCUGCACCGACAAGAUCUACCGGGAAGCAGCAGCCGCAACAGAUCGCAAGUCACUUGCCGUUGAAGCUCCCGGGGGGAAGAAGAAGACCAAGUCCGGCAAGAGUUCUGAUGCCCACUCCAGCAAGCGCACCUCUUCGGAGCGCUGCGCUACCGUCGAGGACGCACCAUCGAGCUCCACCGGCAAGUGUAAAAAGACAAUGGCAGCUCCACCAGAGACCAAGAAGGUGUCCGCCAAGGAGGACGGCACUGGUGGUACCUUCACCAUCAGUGCCACUCUCGACCCAAAAUAG
rnacentral:rRNA from 1 species